GCAAAUAUAGCUCAGUUGGCUAGAGCGUGGUGCUGAUAAUGCCAAGGUUGCAGUUUCAAUCCUCGUAAGGGACAGCUGCA
rnacentral:tRNA from 1 species